rnacentral:rRNA from 1 species
GAUGAACGCUGGCGGUAUGCCUAACACAUGCAAGUCGUACGAGAGUUUUUAACUCUAGUGGCGGACGGGUGAGUAACACGUGAGAAUUUGCCUUUAGGAGGGGGAUAACAAUUGGAAACGAAUGCUAAUACCCCAUAUGCUUUUGAGUGAAAUGGAUUUUAUCCGCCUAGAGAGAAGCUCGCGGCUGAUUAGCUUGUUGGUAAGGUAAGAGCUUACCAAGGCGACGAUCAGUAUCUGGUUUGAGAGGACGAUCAGACACACUGGAACUGAGACACGGUCCAGACUCCUACGGGAGGCAGCAGUGGGAUUUACGUCAAUGGCGAAAGACCUGACGGAGCAAUACCGCGUGAGGGAAGGAAUGCCUAUGGGUUGGUAAACCUCUUUUUCUAGGAGGAAUAAAAUAGACGUGUACCU